GCAGUGCAAACAUAAGAACCAGACAGACGUUCUGUAAAGGGGAACUUUAUUGCAUAAAUACAUUGUUUUAAGAGUGCAGAGUGCUUAUCUAUAGCUAUUCACACAGGUCUCAUAUUAGCUCACAGUAUGCACAGUCAUAGUAAGACUUAAUAAUAGUUGAGGAGGAAAAGAUAAGAAAGCACCCAGGAGACCAGGGGAGAUACUUUGUACUUUUCAAAUGAUUUUUCAAGUCAUUUUUGUUCAUUUAGUUUCCAGGUCAUCUGUCUCUCCGUCGAAGGGGACGUUUUCCAGGUCCAUGUGGAUGUAUGAGUUGUCCUCACUGCAGACCCAGCCGAUGGGCGUGCGGUUGAAUGAGGGGCGUGAGCGGAUGUCAGCCUGCAGGGUGGGUAUAGGCUCCGGCUCCUCUGUAGCAGCGUUGAGCUGUGGGAGUUCGAAGGUCAGCGUCUUGGGCACCUUGUCAAAGCCGCCAAAUGGCAACGCCGUCCUGGGGAGAAAAAAAGAAAUAGGAAGCUGAGGAGAGACAAGCUCUUGUACAGAGGCAGUUCUGGGUGCGUUUGGAUGGGUCCCGGCAUAGUGGCUUUCAUGGUUGCCGCCAGGUCCUCGUUGCCCUUCAUGGCAUGUUCCCAGGGCGAUACAUAGGGAGAGCUCCUCCAGCAUCACAUCCUUGGGCGUCUUGAUCUUGGUGCCCAGGUCGAGCUCAGAGGCCUCGGGGUCUGAAUUAUCAUCUGACAGGAAGAGGCAGAGGACAAAAUAAAAGAAAUGAACAUGGAAGUGCAUGUGGGUGGAUGCUGAGAAAAGGUGGUGGAGAGCUCGUCACUGAGAGGGGUCUGCUGGGGUCCCACCAUGGGCACCAGCUGUUUACUGGAACCCAACAUAAGAGCCUCUUUCGCCCUUUCAGGAGACACAAGCGGUGGGCAGGUCAACCCCAUGCAGCCCCCCACCUCCUGAAAGCCGCUGUCUCCUUCUCCCUCUGCUUCCACCAACCCCUGGUCAGGUGUCGGUGUGAGUGUGUGAGGUGUCAGAGUGUGUGGGGUGUGUGCUGGAGUGGUCCACUCAGUCUGGAGGGGCUGGUAGAUGAGCUCUCUGCGAGGGACGCCAGGAACACACUGACCUUCCCACUGCCCCUGCAUGGAAACCCCUGCAUCAGUGGCACUCUCAUACCUUAGUGGAAAGACAGACAGAACAAGUACAAAAAAGAUUAUAUACUUUGAUGUAAUGUCGAGAUUGAGACGUUGUCAGGGUGGUUUAGGUGACCUUAUGCAAUGUAGCUGUGACAUCUUGGGUUUGAAUCUGAUCUGACACGCCAUAUCAUUCUCCUCUUGCUUUUCCAAUAUCCAGAAAAAGAUGGACUACAUGUGUACACACACAUUGUAAGGAAUAAAAGAUUGAAGGGGUGCAAGGGCAAAGCAUUUCUUUCUGCUGUAGUCUUGCCACCUAGCCUCUGCUCAAG